UCCCUAGUUUAACUUGUCUUGAGUCCUCUUUAUGACUUAGUGAAGCCAGUAGGAGGAUUCAUGACUGGUUGGCUGGACCAGUUUAUGCCUGAUCUUCUUAAAUCUGACUUGUGAAGUCAGUGGAAUGAUUAAGAUUAACUAGUCAAGUCUCAUCUCAUCUCUCAAUUCAACUAAUUAAAUCAUCUAAAAUUGUUAGGUUCCUAAAAUGAAAUAGUUAUAGUGAUAACUAAAUCAUAGCCUCCCAUUAAGUUGGAUGAUAAUAAGUUCAAUGAUUUAGAUAAUCAUUAGAGGUGCCACAUGCGUAGUGCUCAUCUAGCUGUCGGAAUUAUCAUUCAUAAUAUGUUGUUUUAGUUGUGUCUUUCUGAUGAUGGUCAAGUUGGUCGAGCCACACUCGAGCCCGGUCACUCGUUUAUUAGAUACACUAAAUUCUGGCAUGUUAAUGGUUGGACCUAACCAGAACCUUCAGUGGAGGCACUACACGCCUGCUGAAGAGGUGUCUGGGGCAAAAUUGAUUACUAAAAAUUAUUUGGUGAAAUAAUUGGUUAAGAACCUAUCCAUGGGUACACAAGGGUUGGUCGAGCCACACUCGGGCCUAUGUGCAGUCCAUGUGG
rnacentral:lncRNA from 1 species